rnacentral:lncRNA from 1 species
UGGGUUGCCUCCCAACAAGCGCUAAGUUUAACGUCUUCAGCCAGACGCAGUGCAUCCUUAAUUAUAUCAUGCCGGGCUCAUGCGGGGUUCUCCAAGGAUGAAAAUUUGUGGAAGACUAAUUGUUGGGCAGGAAGUUGACUGCUUCUAUGGCCUUGUCUAUAUCAAAGUCAAAAUGGGCCAAGUAUGUUUUCAGAGGGUUAUCUGCCAAAAUAUAGGAAAGGGUUUCUUCUACAAGAUCGUCCAUUUUGUCAAUUAGGAAGCACUCAACUUUCUUUGCAGGUUGAUCAGAGGCACGAAAUAUAUUUAACUUGACCUUCAUAUUCCCAAAGGAUAUAUUCAUCACCCUAGUUCUACAAUUUAUACUCGCAUUGGCUGUAGCUAAAAAGGGGCGUCCAAGGAUCACGGGGAUUUGUUUCUUAGGAUUAGGCUCAUGUUCCAUAUCAAGGACGAUAAAAUCUACUGGAAAAUAGAAUUUGUCUACCUUGACAAGAACAUCUUCAAUUAUCCCACGUGGUGUUUUUACAGAUCGAUCAGCCAAUUGAAGGAAUACCGAGGUUGGUUUUAACUCACCUAACCCAAGUUUCUCAUAAACUGAGUAAGGUAAAAGGUUGACACUUGCCCCUAGAUCUAAGAGUGCUCGAUCAAUGAAAUUAUUUCCUAA